CCUACGGGAGGCAGCAGUGGGGAAUCUUAGACAAUGGGCGCAAGCCUGAUCUAGCCAUGCCCGCGUGUGUGAUGAAGGUCUUAGGAUCGUAAAGCACUUUCGCCAGGGAUGAUAAUGACAGUACCUGGUAAAGAAACCCCGGCUAACUCCGUGCCAGCAGCCGCGGUAAUACGGAGGGGGUUAGCGUUGUUCGGAAUUACUGGGCGUAAAGCGUACGUAGGCGGAUUGGAAAGUUGGGGGUGAAAUCCCAGGGCUCAACCCUGGAACUGCCUCCAAAACUAUCAGUCUAGAGUUCGAGAGAGGUGAGUGGAAUUCCAAGUGUAGAGGUGAAAUUCGUAGAUAUUUGGAGGAACACCAGUGGCGAAGGCGGCUCACUGGCUCGAUACUGACGCUGAGGUACGAAAGUGUGGGGAGCAAACAGGAUUAGAUACCCUGGUAGUCCACACCGUAAACGAUGAAUGCCAGUCGUCGGGCAGUAUACUGUUCGGUGACACACCUAACGGAUUAAGCAUUCCGCCUGGGGAGUACGGUCGCAAGAUUAAAACUCAUAGGAAUUGACGG
rnacentral:rRNA from 1 species